rnacentral:rRNA from 1 species
AACGAACGCUGGCGGCAGGCCUAACACAUGCAAGUCGAGCGAGACCUUCGGGUCUAGCGGCGGACGGGUUAGUAACGCGUGGGAACGUGCCCUUCUCUGCGGAAUAGCCACUGGAAACGGUGAGUAAUACCGCAUACGCCCUUCGGGGGAAAGAGUUUAUCGGAGAAGGAUCGGCCCGCGUUAGAUUAGAUAGUUGGUGGGGUAACGGCCUACCAAGUCUACGAUCUAUAGCUGGGUUUUAGAGGAUGAUUAGCAACACUGGGACUGAGACACGGCCCAGACUCCUACGGGAGGCAGCAGUGGGGAAUCUUAGACAAUGGGCGCAAGCCUGAUCCAGCCAUGCCGCGUGAGUGAUGAAGGCCUUAGGGUCGUAAAGCUCUUUCGCCAGAGAUGAUAAUGACAGUAUCUGGUAAAGAAGUCCCGGCUAACUCCGUG